rnacentral:lncRNA from 1 species
UAAGGCAUUCAGUUAUGCCUACGAUCAUAUCUUCAAGUGAGCUUCUUUUCUUAAGGCUAAAAUCUAGGGGAGGCCCGACCACAUUCUGUUUAUUUUUCCAUGAAAAAUUUGGAUGAUUUCUCGUCUCAGGAUUGUAUGUAUUGGAGUAUGGAUUAUAUGAUGGUCUACCUUACCUAGCUAUAAAACUCACUUGUUUUGCUACAUGUCUUUGAAAAGGGUCUUCAAACAAAUCCUGCACAUGAGAAUUAACAACACUAACACUCUUUUGAUUAGUUUUCUUAAAUAAAGAAUAAAUAUUUACAUUAAGAGCUAUUAAAGCAUCAAUCUCAUAUAAUUCAACAUUUUUCUGGGGUUGAUGUCUUUCUAUUGGCCAUUGAUA